CCUACGGGAUGCUGCAGUGAGGAAUAUUGGUCCAUGGGCGCGAGCCUGAACCAGCCACGUAGCGUGAAGGAUGACUGCCCUACGGGUUGUAACCUUCUUUUAUAAAGGAAUAAAGUGAGGCUCGUGUGCCUUUUUGUAUGUACUUUAUGAAUAAGGAUCGGCUAACUCCGUGCUAGCAGCCGCGGUAAUACGGAGGAUCCGAGCGUUAUCCGGAUUUAUUGGGUUUAAAGGGAGCGUAGAUGGGUUGUUAAGUCAGUUGUGAAAGUUUGCGGCUCAACCGUAAAAUUGCAAUUGAUACUGGCAGUCGUGAGUACAGGUGAGGUAGGCGGAAUUCGUGGUGUAGCGGUGAAAUGCUUAGAUAUCACGAAGAACUCCGAUUGCGAAGGCAGCGUACUAAACUGCCACUGACAUUGAUGCUCGAAAGUGUGGGUAUCAAACAGGAUUAGAUACCCGUGUAGUC
rnacentral:rRNA from 1 species